rnacentral:rRNA from 1 species
AUCUACCGCCAUACCACCCUGAAAGCCCCAACCUCGUCUGAUCUCGGAAGCUCAGCAGGUCAGGCCUGGUCAGUACUUGGACGGGAGAGGAUCACUGGGGCCCUGGGAC